AUGGAAAUGAGGAUUCUUUCCCCGAAUGAUCGACAAUGAUUCAACUGUGCGUUUUCUCUUUGGAGAUAAGCCAGAUAGCCUGAUCCAU